GAAAAUAUGGAGGUAGAGCACUGAAUGGACUAGGGGCCAAAAAGGUUACCGAACCCUAUCAAACUCCGAAUGCCAUAUUGAGAACCCUGGGAGUCAGACUACGAGUGAUAAGAUCCGUGGUCAAAAGGGAAACAGCCCAGACCGACAGCUAAGGUCCCAAAGAGCAUGUUAAGUGGAAAAGGAAGUAGGAUUUCCAAGACAACCAGGAUGUUGGCUUAGAAGCAGCCAUACAUUCAAAGAGUGCGUAAUAGCUCACUGGUCGAGAAAUCCCGCGCCGAAAAUAAACGGGGCUAAAACAUGCCACCGAAGCUACGGAUUCGAAAGAAUGGUAGGGGAGCGUACUGUACAGGGGGAAGGAUAAGCGGAAGCGAAUCUGGACAGUACAGUAGAGAGAAUGCCGGUAUAAGUAACGAGAGUAAGGCGAGAAACCUUACCGUCGAAAGCCUAAGGUUUCCUGGGGAAGGAUAAUCCGCCCAGGGUAAGUCGGGACCUAAGCCGAGGCGAAAGCGUAGGCGAUGGACAACCGGUAAUAAAUCCGGUACCACCGAAAUCCGUCAUAAGAGAAGCAAGGACGCAGCGAGAUAAGAAAAGCGUGCGGUUGGUAGAGCACGUCCAAGCAGCGACGAAAAGAGCUUUGAGUGAAGUACCAAAGCUCAUAAGAGCUGUGACGGGGAGCCGCAAGGCGAAGUUUCGAAGGGGCUGCCAAGAAAAGUUGCUAUCGAGGAUAGAGGUGCCCGUACCAGAAACCGACACAGGUAGGCGAGGAGAGAAUCCAAAGACGAGCGGGAGAACCCUCAUUAAGGAACUCGGCAAAAAGACUCCGUAACUUCGGGAGAAGGAGUGCCGAAAGGCCGCAGAGAAGAGGCCCAAGCGACUGUUUACCAAAAACACAGGUUUCUGCUAAGUCGAAAGACGAAGUAUAGGAGCUGACGCCUGCCCGGUGCUGGAAGGUUAAGGGGAAGUGU
rnacentral:rRNA from 1 species